UAUUUCCAAUUUGUUUUAUUAUUCUAUAAACGUUCCCUUAAAAAAAGUUACCUUCCAAGCAAAUAAUUAAGCUUGUACUCUGCUUUAGGGAAGUAAUUUUUUACCUUCCCGCUAAAGCCUUCAAUCUCCCUCCAUUUUUUUUAUUUCCCACCAAAUAAUUUGGUCGUGUGUGGCGCCACAAACUCUUAACCUCCCCGUUAAACACCCCUCACAAAUAGUCCCGAUUAUUUCUCUUCGCCAAAUUGUCGAGAUUGGAUCUGAGCUCUCUCGUUCUUGUUCCUCCAUCCUCACGGCGUCAUGACGGCGUCGAGCCGUCGACACUGCAGACCACACCGGAGUCCGUCGAACGUACACUGUCUCAGAAGGGCACAAUGGUGAAUUUGAACGCAAGAUCCUGCUGGUAGGAGACCGAGUACAAUACAUCGACAACUUGCUAGGGAUGCGUCAGGUAAUGUGCAGGCUUCAGAGGAAAGAGAUGAUGCACAUUACUCAUUUCUGCAAGGUACACAACAUCCUUAACUCUUAAUCACUUAUCUGAAUGGUGCACACUAACUUUGGUUAUUCUCUAGUUCUUUAGUGUUGUGCAUCUUGGAUGCUUCUUCAUCCGAUGGGAGUGUAAUUUUCAUAUUUAGGACAAAGCAUGUCUAGAGGUUCAAAACAAAGAAAAUGAAACUCAAGGUCUAAUUUCAAGUGAACAUAGAAACAAUAUUUUGCAGACUGCAUAUAAAGACACUCUACAAUGCAAGUCUUCUCAGCCUCGUGGGUAUGGAUACAUGGCCAAAUCACCAAGUGGUUCAGAAAGGAUUAAGUCCCAGUUUGAAGAGCAAGCUCGUGCUAAAGCAUAGACCCAAAAGGUAAACUCUGAGCUCAGCCAUCAGAUCACCAAGUUACAAGAUCAGUAACAAGCUGAAUGUGAAAGCACACAAGAGAGGAUUAACUUGAAGUGUGCUGAGAGAGAAAACCUUGAGGAGAGGUUAAAAGAAGAGCGUGCUGAAAGGGAAACAUUGUUGGAAGAGGAGCGAAGAUCGAUACUGGAAUUUGAGAAAAACAUGAUGGAAAAGUUUGCGCAGUUGUCCCAAUAGACGGGAACCAACAGAUGCAAACACAUCAGACGCCUGAGAAAAGGACUAGCAACGAAAAUAGUAAUCCAAACUUGCAAAUUACUCUUUUACAGACCGCUAGUACUACUGGGACUAUAGGUACAAGGCACAAUGUAAUUGCUCCAAAUACACUCAUACAAGCCGCAACAAUGAAUUCUUGAAUGUUUCGAGCAAUGGUAAGUCACAAGCUUGGUUUGUCUUCAUGUUGACCUUUAUUUGAUACGUAAAUGGCCUUCAUAAUUGUUUACUUGCUUGCACUACUGUACUUUUUUGUUGUUGAAGCACAUACAAUAGGGAAGCCAGAAAUAGAACCGUUUUCUCACCAUUAGAAAUUGUGAACUUGCGCAAGCAUGUAGUUGUUUCGGAGAAGUUUAGUUGUUCGAUUAAUUUAGGUAAUUAUUCUUGUGUUUGAACUACAAAAUCUUUUGUGAAAUUAUUCAAUUCUUUUUGCAUUUCACCUAAUUGUUGAUGGAGUAGUACAUCAGGCACAGGCAUUUGCUUGCUAGCUGCUGUGGUCAUAACAAUUGGGCGUGAAGGUACCCAUGCAUGCACGAAUAUAGUAAUUAUACAAUUGUCAUGACAGUGGUUAUAUCUUCUAUUGCUUCUUUAUUUUCCUGACUAAGUAUUUUCUAAGCUAAAUAAUUUUUCUCUCUUCAUAGCAGGAUACAAAGAUUUAACUGGAAUGGACUCUAGACCACAGACAAUUUAGUCUUUGCUCUUGAUUAUGAUGGCAAAUUCAAUAUGUUGAAUGCGUGCUAAAUUAUAUUUCAGUUUCAUUUGAUGGAUAUUGGCUAUGCAAACUUUGAUAUUUUAUGAAUCUACAUCAUAUAUGCAUUAUUUGAAGCAUGUAAUUGAAUGCCA